GAAAUGCGAUAAGUAAUGUGAAUUGCAGAAUUCCGUGAAUCAUCGAAUCUUUGAACGCACAUUGCGCCCUUUGGUAUUCCAAAGGGCAUGCCUGUUCGAGCGUCAUUUGUACCCUCAAGCUUUGCUUGGUGUUGGGCGUUUUUUGUCUUUGGCUCGCCCAAAGACUCGCCUUAAAACGAUUGGCAGCCGGCCUACUGGUUUCGCAGCGCAGCACAUUUUUGCGCUUGCAAUCAGCAAAAGAGGACGGCAAUCCAUCAAGACUCCUUCUCACGUUUGACCUCGGAUCAGGUAGGGAUACCCGCUGAACUUAAGC
rnacentral:misc_RNA from 1 species